rnacentral:rRNA from 1 species
UACGGAGGGGGCUAGCGUUGCUCGGAAUUACUGGGCGUAAAGCGCACGUAGGCGGCUUUCUAUGUCGGUGGUGAAAUCCUGGAGCUCAACUCCAGAACUGCCUUCGAUACUGGAAAGCUCGAGUCCGGGAGAGGUGAGUGGAACUGCGAGUGUAGAGGUGAAAUUCGUAGAUAUUCGCAAGAACACCAGUGGCGAAGGCGGCUCACUGGCCCGGUACUGACGCUGAGGUGCGAAAGCGUGGGGAGCAAACAGG